GAUGAACGCUGGCGGCGUGCUUAACACAUGCAAGUCGAACGGUGAACACGGAGCUUGCUCUGUGGGAUCAGUGGCGAACGGGUGAGUAACACGUGAGCAACCUGCCCCUGACUCUGGAAUAAGCGCUGGAAACGGCGUCUAAUACUGGAUACGAGAAGGGUCCGCAUGGGCACUUUCUGGAAAGUUUUUCGGUUGGGGAUGGGCUCGCGGCCUAUCAGCUUGUUGGUGAGGUAAUGGCUCACCAAGGCGACGACGGGUAGCCGGCCUGAGAGGGCGACCGGCCACACUGGGACUGAGACACGGCCCAGACUCCUACGGGAGGCAGCAGUGGGGAAUAUUGCACAAUGGGCGAAAGCCUGAUGCAGCGACGCCGCGUGAGGGAUGACGGCCUUCGGGUUGUAAACCUCUUUCAGCAGGGAAGAAGCGAAAGUGACGGUACCUGCAGAAGAAGCACCGGCUAACUACGUG
rnacentral:rRNA from 1 species